GAUCAUGGCUUAGGAUGAACGCUAGCUACAGGCUUAACACAUGCAAGUCGAGGGGCAGCAUGGUCUUAGCUUGCUAAGGCCGAUGGCGACCGGCGCACGGGUGAGUAACGCGUAUCCAACCUGCCUUACACUCUUGGACAGCCUUCUGAAAGGGAGAUUAAUACAAGAUGUUAUCAUGAGUAAGCAUUUUCGCAUGAUUAAGGUUUACCGGUNUAGAUGGGGAUGCGUUCCA
rnacentral:rRNA from 1 species